rnacentral:rRNA from 1 species
UACGAAGGGGGCUAGCGUUGCUCGGAAUCACUGGGCGUAAAGCGCACGUAGGCGGAUUGUUAAGUCAGGGGUGAAAUCCUGGAGCUCAACUCCAGAACUGCCUUUGAUACUGGCGAUCUUGAGUCCGGGAGAGGUGAGUGGAACUGCGAGUGUAGAGGUGAAAUUCGUAGAUAUUCGGAAGAACACCAGUGGCGAAGGCGGCUCACUGGACCGGUAUUGACGCUGAUGUGCGAAGGCGUGGGGAGCAAACAGG